GGAUGGGCAUGCGGCGCAUUAGCUAGACGGCGGGGUAACGGCCCACCGUGGCGACGAUGCGUAGGGGUUCUGAGAGGAAGGUCCCCCACACUGGUACUGAGACACGGACCACACUUAUACGGGAGGCAGCAGUGAGGAAUAUUGGUCAAUGGGCGCGAGCCUGAACCAGCCAAGUCGCGUGAGGGAAGACGGUCCUAUGGAUUGUAAACCUCUUUUGUCGGGGAGCAAAAGACGUCACGUGUGGCGUUCCGAGAGUACCCGAAGAAAAAGCAUCGGCUAACUCCGUGCCAGCAGCCGCGGUAAUACGGAGGAUGCGAGCGUUAUCCGGAUUUAUUGGGUUUAAAGGGUGCGCAGGCGGAAGAUCAAGUCAGCGGUAAAAUUGAGAGGCUCAACCUCUUCGAGCCGUUGAAACUGGUUUUCUUGAGUGAGCGAGAAGUAUGCGGAAUGCGUGGUGUAGCGGUGAAAUGCAUAGAUAUCACGCAGAACUCCGAUUGCGAAGGCAGCAUACCGGCGCUCAACUGACGCUCAUGCACGAAAGUGUGGGUAUCGAACAGGAUUAGAUACCCUGGUAGUCCACACAGUAAACGAUGAAUACUAAUUGUUCGGGGAGAAUGAUCCCUGAGUGAUACAGCGAAAGCGUUAAGUAUUCCACCUGGGGAGUACGCCGGCAACGGUGAA
rnacentral:rRNA from 1 species